AAGCCAUAGCACUACUGCAUAUGAUUUUGAGGAUUAAAUUAUAUGGUGGAUAUAUAUUACUGGGCAUUUAGUAGUGCCCCAAGACAAAGUUAUUAUUGCUGUCAUCCUCCCCACACCUUCUCUUCACCCCUGCUGCCCAGCCUCCGGUGACACCUGUGCUGUCUCACCUGUACUGUUGCAAUAGCCUCCCAAUGGGACUUCUUGCCUCCACCUGCCUCAAAUCCAUCCAGCACAUGGCCUGCACUGCUGUCUUCUGGCAACAGAAAAUGGACAAAGAUAUGGAGCAAGGGGCAGAAUGAUUCUUGAAGAUGCCGAGUAACUUCUGGGAUCUGGCCAAGACAAGCUUCAUAUUCUGCCCUGUGCUGCCGACAAACCUGCCCUAGGAAUAGUGUCUCCUACUCGGUAAACGAGAACCUUUUACUCAGUUACUCAGGAC
rnacentral:lncRNA from 13 species